AUAAUACCGCUUUCUGUGGUGGAUAGACACAAAAUUGUUGAAUUCGACAAAGCUUUUGAAGAGAAACAGGAGGUCAGCGCGUAUGAAGACAUCACCCCUGUUGCAGUUGGUAGCACCUCAGAAGGUCUUAACAUGCCAGACUUGGUUGAAGUAACCGAUGAAGGCUCGCGAUCUUUGCAGUUGUCAGACUUAGACAUCUUGCAAGUGAUGAAUCAGUUCACUAUUACAUUUGAUGAAUCGAAAAGACAGCAAUUGAUGAUCACUUAUGAUGUUAGAGAACUUUUUCCUUGGGAUUUGUUCGCUUUAGCAGAGACAAAUAAUAUUCACCCAGGAUACGCCCGGCUUUACCGACCUAAAUCCUCUCUAUCCGAUGUAUACCACGACCGAGAGAUGUCUUUGAUGAAUUUUGCAUUGCAUCAUACAGACAGGGAGGAAUAUGUUGGCAUGAUUCAAAUAAAUGGUCCAGCAUUGACCAUACCAGUGUCCGCUUCUGACAGACGUAUAAACGGAAAACCUUUACCAUUAGACAAAGUACUCGCUUUGCCAUGUCAAGAGUGGCCUCCAACAGCAAACUCUUUCAAAGAAAGAUUUAAAACAAAUAAUUGGCCAUGGCUUAAAGGAGAUCUGAUGAAAAGGAUCAUCGAAGGAGGCUGUCAUAUUGUCCCCGUUCAUCACAGAGCAGUUGUUGGUAAUAAACGGAGAGAUGAAUGGAGAAUAUCAUUUGCGACUUCUGAGCGGCUCAUUGCUAGGGAAGCUUUGACGAAUUUUCAGAAGCAAGCGUACAUUGCUAUCAAAGUUCUCUACCACCAUAAAUUAAAGAAAUUAGAAUUGUUGUCGUCAUAUCACAUGAAAACGGUCUUUUUUCAUGUGUGUGAAAGGAUACAUGCGACGCAUUGGAGAGAUAAUAUGGGAUCAUGUAUCUUAUACUUUUUGGAUAUCUUGAUAAAAUGUGUUAGGAAAGGUAACAUUCCUAGCUUUUUCAUUCCUGAAAACAAUCUAAUUGAUUAUUUGACUGAAGAAGAACUUACCACUCUAGAGGUGGAAUUGACUGAGAUUCGAUCUAAACCACUUGAUCAAUUAUUGUCAUUUUUUGACCAUAAAUAUGUAGAGGAAAUUGGUGUAAAAUUAGAUUAUACAUCUAUAUUUUCUCCUGUGAUUUAUGACAUGGAUUUCUAUUGUGAACUUCGUAAUUUUGAUCUCACUCUAAAGGAGGUACUUAGACCAUGUUCUAUAAGUAUUAUGGUAAAAUAUAUAAAGAGUAAAAAUUACAAGGAGGCAGUAAGAACUGCAAAACAUGUUCAUUUUUUGUCAAGAAAAUGUACUUCGGAAAAGGAAUCGUUGGCCAAACUUGUCCUGUCUGCUGUCGUUGAAAUCGAAGACAGUAAAGCAGAAAGGUGUUUUUUGAAUUAUGUGACUUGUCAACUCAAAGAGGAUGAGAGCUUUGAUUGCUGCAAAAGUUACUUAAAACACUUGGAGCAACAACCAAUGACAGCGGACAAAACUUACUGUUGUGUGAUGUAAACCAGUCAAUGGUGCAAUGUUUUUCUUUUAAUUCUUCUAUUUACUUGUAAUAUCACACGUUACAAAAAGGUGUUUAAUCUUUUAAUCAUAUACCAGAAAAUAAUAUUGAUAUGUAAUUUUUGUAUGAAAUUGAUAUUCAGAAUAUUCUGUUGAUAAGCACGAACGUUUUAAGAAUUAUCAAUAUCAUGUUGUGAACAAGGCUUGACAGAUUUAUAGUAGCGUUGAUAGUAAUUUGAUGCUAAUAAUGUGCGAAUCAAAACAUUAAAUGUCAUGCUCUGC
rnacentral:sRNA from 1 species